rnacentral:rRNA from 1 species
GACGAACGCUGGCGGCGUGCUUAACACAUGCAAGUCGAACGGUAAGGCCCUUCGGGGUACACGAGUGGCGAACGGGUGAGUAACACGUGGGUGAUCUGCCCUGCACUUCGGGAUAAGCCUGGGAAACUGGGUCUAAUACCGGAUAGGACCAUGGACUUCACGGUUUGUGGUGGAAAGCUUUUGCGGUGUGGGAUGGGCCCGCGGCCUAUCAGCUUGUUGGUGGGGUAAUGGCCUACCAAGGCGACGACGGGUAGCCGGCCUUGAGAGGGUGUCCGGCCACACUGGGACUGAGAUACGGCCCAGACUCCUACGGGAGGCAGCAGUGGGGAAUAUUGCACAAUGGGCGCAAGUCUGAUGCAGCGACGCCGCGUGAGGGAUGACGGCCUUCGGGUUGUAAACUCUUUCAAUAGGGACGAAGCGCAAGUGACGGUACCUAUAGAAGAAGCACCGGCCAACUACGUGCCAGCAGCCGCGGUAAU